UCCCAACGCCCCGCCCCCGCGGCCCGGCUAUAACGGCUGCGCCGCGCGCCGGGAGGCGGCAGCGCAGACACGUGACCCCGGUGACGGGGGCGGGUAUGGGACCGUGACCCGCGGAGCUUGUCCUGCCCCGGGGCAUUCAAGGAGCUGUGAGGAGAGGGCAGCUGGUAAACGUUGGAGGCAGAACUAAAAGCCCUGUAGUGUGUUAUCAGCAGUGCUGCAGGUAAUGUGGAAAAAGCUGUUUUAGCAGUGGCUUGGUGAUCCAUAAAUAAUAAAUCUGUGAUUGGCAAGUUCCAGCCAUAGAAUCAUAGAAACGUAGGGCUGGAAAGGACCUCAGGAGCUCAUCUAGGCCAUCCCCCUGCACUGAGGUAGGACCAAGUAAACCUAGAUCUUCCCUGACAGAUGUUUGGCUAACCCAGGGGUGGCCAACCUGUGGCUCCAGAGCCACAUGCGGCUCCUUCAGAAGUUAAUAAGCGGCUCCUAGUAUAGGCACCGACUGCGGGGCUGGAGCUACAGGCGCCAACUUUCCAAUGUGCCGGGGGGUGCUCACUGCUCAACCCCUGGCUCUUCCACAUGCCCUGCCCCCACUCCACCCAUUCCUGUUCCCUCCCUGGAGCCUGCCGUGCCCUUGCUCCUCCCUCCCCCAGCACACCAUGGAACAGAUGAUCAGGCAGGAGGAGGAGGUGCCGAUCAGUGGGCGGGAGGCACUGGGAGCCGGGGGACUGAUGGGGGGCUGACGACGUAUUACUGUGGCUCUUUGGCAAUGUACAUUGGUAAAUUCUGGCUCCUUCUCAGGCUCACGUUGGCCACCUCUGGGCUAACCUGUUCUUGAAAACCUCCAAUGAUCAGGAUUCCACAACCUUCCUUGUAAGCCUACUCCAGGGCUUAACUAUCCUUAUAGUUAGAAUUUUUUUUUCCAGUACCAACCUAAAUUUCCAUUGCUGGAGAUUAACUUCAGUGGACAUGGAGAACAAUUGAUCACCAUCCUCUUUAAACCAGUUCUUAGACUUAUCAGGUCUCCCCUCGCUCUUCUUUUCUGAAGAUUAAGCAUGUCCAGUUUUUUUAAUCUUUCUUCAUAGGGCAGGUUUCUGGAGGUGGUGAGUGGUUCCAGCUGAGAGCGUUGCCUAGAAUAUUCCCUAAUGUCCCUCUUAACUUGCUUAGAGGAGGGCCCCCCUUGUGCCAAAUAACUUACAUGUGACCAUAAGCCUCAGUUGCAUAUGACCCCUCAUCUUCUGUCCCUAUCAGCCAGGUCUCCCUCUGCUAGGAUCUUCUUCAGUUGUGGGAGCCUAAAGUUAGGCAACUACAUAGAGGUGGCUGAGGUAGCAAGCAGCACAAUUCCUGUUGGAUUAAGGGCCUAACAUUAGCCUCCAUGUUUGAAAACACUGGCUCUAGCUCUUAACUGACCCUUUCAUUCUGACAUGCCAUUAAUGUAAACCAUCAGAAACUGCUUCCUUGAGAAAAGCAUUGCAGGGUGCUCAAGCUGCCCAAGCUACAGGCUAGGGACACUCAGACAGUGGUUCAGGAGCAAAUUAGCGAUCAACCUUACCCAAAAGAGCCACAGUAGUUUUUCAUUUACUAUUUUUAUAUUAUAUAUUUAUAUUAUAUAAUUCUCAUAGCAAAAUGACUGACCAAGAAUCAUUUCAUCAACUACAAUUGGUUAACAAUAUAGUAAAAGCAUCUUGAUUGGUUAAUAAUUAAAUUACACAGUGUUUUAAUAUGUGCUGCAAAGAGCUGCAGGAGACACAUUGAUAAGCCACUUGUGGCUCUUGAGUCUCAGUCUGAGUAUCACCAUUUUAGGCCUUUUGACAACUCCUUCUACUCAAGCAUGCUUCUUUGCACCCCCGCUCCACCCACUCUCUCUCUCAGCUGGCCAGGCAGUAGCCACACCCCUUCAUUCUUGCUGUCUCUCCCCAUCCUGUCCAGGUUCGUUACUGCCCCAAAGCUCAACAGGUAAAAAAUACAUCAGGACAGCAUGUUUUACAAUCCUGCUGUAUUCUAGAUUGAAUUUCCUGACAAGUGGGAAUUGUUUUCAUGGCACAAUUUCUGUCUGCAACAGCAGAAGCUUUGGCCCAAUCCAUGGUGAAUGUUUAGCUAUUGACCAACAACUUUCAAACCUCCCCUACACCAGGUAGACAAGGAAAUGACCCAGAUGUAACCGAUGGGGAAAUGCCUUUGAGAGUGUACAAAUCUGUCAAGAUACUGUGUUAGCUGUACUAAGUUAAUAAUUAUUUGUAUGGCAGUAGUUCACAGAGGCCCUGAUCAGAGCUCCAUUGUGCACAUACAGCACCUACCCCAGUGUUUAAAUCCACAUCAGAGACUCUGUUUUCACUGGAAUUUAAAAUAUAUAUAAUAUGUAAACAUUUCUAUUAAAGUUAUGUUUUGCAAAUUAUUUUUUUUAGAAAGCCUAAAUUUUGGUCUUAAAUAGACCUGAGUAUCCAUUUGAAUGUAAAGCCACUAUACGUUUUAGAAGCUUCACUGCCACCUCUUGACCUUCCAAAACAUAUCUUCCUUGAAUGAGCAGUAAAUCUCAGACAGCCUUUCUCCAUUAAAAAUAAUCGGCUCUAGAACACACAUUGUUUGGGUCCCCAGCAGCCCAAAUGGAAUUUUUCUUACCCAAUCGCUUCCUUUCUAGUAGAAUAAUCCCACACAAUCCAUAAUGGAUGGGCUCUUUUCCUGUGGGAUUUGGAGGUACAGGGAUGUGGCCAGGGUUCUGGGAACAUCAGACAUCAGUCACUAGAAAAGUUCUUCAAUUUAUCUAUUUCUUUUUGAUUUCUAAAUAACAAGAAGGGCCCCUGCACAAUCUCUGAGAAAUAGCAAGAAUGCAAGACAAAGGUGACAAGAGAAUAACCAUUUAUUAAAGGAGAAACAGUACACUCAUUCUUCAAAUUAAUACUGAUUUCCCUUCUUUUGUUCCUAUCACUAUAAUACAUUCGUUACCCCAAAUUUAAAAUGAUUACAGAUUUACUUUAUAUCAUGUGCCAGAUACUUGGUUGAUAAUCUUGAGAAAAAUACAUCAAAGGCUUAUAUACAGUUAUAGAAAAGAGUAACCCCUAUACUGUAUGUUGUACAGGUAGCAGGGAAGAUACAGUAUAGUUUCAGUUCUUUUUACAUAUGCUAGAAGACAUUCAAAAGAAGAUAGAUUUAAACCAUCUGAAUAAAUGAUUUAGGGCCCAGUGGGUCCACCCUGGUUCAUGUUGAGUGUUUUCUUACUAUAUGAGCAGCCCCUCUGAAACUAAUUUAAUUGUCUGUGUAAUAAGGUACAUCUCAACAUUAGUACGAGUGACACAAGCUAGACCACGUUGUGUUUCAUGGUUUAGAUUUCUUCAUUCCUUAUUAUGUUUUUGCUUAUAAGAAAAUCCACAAUUAUUAAUGUUGAAUUUUCCAUGUUACAUUCAUCUGAAAAUAAAAUAAAAACCAGGGAAACCAUAUCAUGAAAUAGUUAGCAUAAAUGCUUAGUUUCCUAUGGACUUCACUGAAAACUUGCUCGAGGAUACAAGUGUGCUGGAAGAUUUUUUUCACAGGAAACACAUUAAUAAAAAUCUCCCAAUACUGAGGUGGUUUUAUAUUUUUAAGUCAACAAAUGAAGUAGUCAUGUUGUACUGUUUAUCCCAUAAACAGGUCCUGUGAUGAGUUCUAAUAAAAUUUAAAAACGUGAA